CACGUAGGAGGCAAACGUUAUCCGGAUUUACUGGGCGUAAAGCGCGUGUAGGUGGUUCUGUAAGUAGGGCGUGAAAGCUCCUGGCUCAACUGGGAGAGGCCGUUCUAAACUGCAGAGCUAGAGGAUGGUAGAGGGAGGUGGAAUUCCCGGUGUAGCGGUGAAAUGCGCAGAUAUCGGGAGGAACACCAGUAGCGAAGGCGGUUCUCUGGGCCAGUACUGACGCUGAGGAGCGAAAGCGUGGGGAGCAAACAGGAUUAGAUACCCCGGUAGUCCCUGA
rnacentral:rRNA from 1 species